UUUAUGGAGAGUUUGAUCCUGGCUCAGGAUGAACGCUGGCGGCGUGCCUAAUACAUGCAAGUCGAGCGAACGGACGAGAAGCUUGCUUCUCUGAUGUUAGCGGCGGACGGGUGAGUAACACGUGGAUAACCUACCUAUAAGACUGGGAUAACUUCGGGAAACCGGAGCUAAUACCGGAUAAUAUUUUGAACCGCAUGGUUCAAAAGUGAAAGACGGUCUUGCUGUCACUUAUAGAUGGAUCCGCGCUGCAUUAGCUAGUUGGUAAGGUAACGGCUUACCAAGGCAACGAUGCAUAGCCGACCUAAGAGGGUGAUCGGCCACACUGGAACUGAGACACGGUCCAGACUCCUACGGGAGGCAGCAGUAGGGAAUCUUCCGCAAUGGGCGAAAGCCUGACGGAGCAACGCCGCGUGAGUGAUGAAGGUCUUCGGAUCGUAAAACUCUGUUAUUAGGGAAGAACAUAUGUGUAAGUAACUGUGCACAUCUUGACGGUACCUAAUCAGAAAGCCACGGCUAACUACGUGCCAGCAGCCGCGGUAAUACGUAGGUGGCAAGCGUUAUCCGGAAUUAUUGGGCGUAAAGCGCGCGUAGGCGGUUUUUUAAGUCUGAUGUGAAAGCCCACGGCUCAACCGUGGAGGGUCAUUGGAAACUGGAAAACUUGAGUGCAGAAGAGGAAAGUGGAAUUCCAUGUGUAGCGGUGAAAUGCGCAGAGAUAUGGAGGAACACCAGUGGCGAAGGCGACUUUCUGGUCUGUAACUGACGCUGAUGUGCGAAAGCGUGGGGAUCAAACAGGAUUAGAUACCCUGGUAGUCCACGCCGUAAACGAUGAGUGCUAAGUGUUAGGGGGUUUCCGCCCCUUAGUGCUGCAGCUAACGCAUUAAGCACUCCGCCUGGGGAGUACGACCGCAAGGUUGAAACUCAAAGGAAUUGACGGGGACCCGCACAAGCGGUGGAGCAUGUGGUUUAAUUCGAAGCAACGCGAAGAACCUUACCAAAUCUUGACAUCCUU
rnacentral:rRNA from 1 species